UCCAACUAAUAAUAACUUCUAUAAUAAGUAAGUUUUAUUUUUAUCAAUAUGAAUUCUCAGGCUAUUAUACAAUGAUUUGAGGCGAUCUAGUCAGCCAAUGUUUGGUUGGUUAUGUCCAAGCUUUGUACGAGACGACAGUUGCGUACAAAACGAAGAGGAGGUGAAAGCAUAUCUCAAGGAUUCUUUGAACGCAUGUUCUCGUAUUGGAUAUAAGAUCAUUCUUCUUCCUUACAUUGAAUCGAACCAUUGGACACUGAUUGCAAUAUGUUUGUCACGUAACGAAGUCUACCACUUUGAUUCUUUGCGUAAAGGAACAAUACGGUCCUUACUAGUCAAAUCAUUGUUAAAUAGUGUGAUGAAGAAGCGUAUGCAUCUGGACUUCGACAAGGAAAACCUCCUGUUUGGUAUUUA